rnacentral:rRNA from 1 species
AUUGAACGCUGGCGGCAGGCCUAACACAUGCAAGUCGAGCGGAUGAAGGGAGCUUGCUCCUGGAUUCAGCGGCGGACGGGUGAGUAAUGCCUAGGAAUCUGCCUGGUAGUGGGGGAUAACGUCCGGAAACGGGCGCUAAUACCGCAUACGUCCUGAGGGAGAAAGUGGGGGAUCUUCGGACCUCACGCUAUCAGAUGAGCCUAGGUCGGAUUAGCUAGUUGGUUGGGUAAAGGCCUACCAAGGCGACGAUCCGUAACUGGUCUGAGAGGAUGAUCAGUCACACUGGAACUGAGACACGGUCCAGACUCCUACGGGAGGCAGCAGUGGGGAAUAUUGGACAAUGGGCGAAAGCCUGAUCCAGCCAUGCCGCGUGUGUGAAGAAGGUCUUCGGAUUGUAAAGCACUUUUAGUUGGGAGGAAGGGCAGUAAGUUAAUACCUUGCUGUUUUGACGUUACCAACAGAAUAAGCACCGGCUAACUUCGUG